rnacentral:lncRNA from 1 species
ACACGCGUGUGCACGCACACCUCACGAGCAGAGCCCCUUUCCUUCCUCUUUAGAUGAAAUCUGAAGGUGAGGCAGGCUGCGAGUGUGUGGAGUUUUCUCCUCAGGUGGUGUGCCAAGAAAGGCAAACCGGCGCCUCUCAACCCUAUAGUUCAAAACAGGACACCCAGCAGUGUGUCAAUAGAGGUAAACGCAUUUGCUCCCUAGGAUGAGAACAACUGGAAGGUUAUAUAGAUGGCACACAGCAUCAGUCAGCAGAGAGAGAAGCAAGGGAUGAAGAUACGAAACUGAAACAAGGCCACAGGCCGUGAAAAGGAAAGAAAUUCAUUCAGAGGAGGAGACUUCAACCUCCAACCCUUUGAAGCGUAAGCAGUGGUAGAAGCCUACAUCUCUCCAUGAAGGAUGCAAACAAGUCUGUGCAAAUUUGAAGGCACACAGUUUUUAAGGCCUCUGACCAACUGCCAAAGCCCACCGGGCCUCAGCUCUCCGCCUAGCCACAUUCUUCCCCUUCUCUGGCAGACUGCACAUGAGGACUCACCUUAAAGACAGCGAUGGCGUAAGGGUGUGGGAGGUUGUCAAGGAUGACUGAACGCUGCUGGCCACUGAAAGUGAUGCGCUCGAUACAGUCCAGAUGUGAGACAUCUGGCAACCAUAAGAGAGUUCAAUGCUUUCUAAUCAAACCCACACGGAGUUAUCGGACCACGACAAGCAAGCUAUGGCUUCAAAAGCCUCAGUCAACAGGUUAUCUCCCCCAGGAUCACCAGAAGCAGAAACUUGGCCUCAAGUUUUCACUUUCAUGAGCGUCUGUUGUAGCAGUGGGCACAACGCUGACUCCCCAUAGGGAACACUUACCCUUCUUGGGGUACAAGGACUAGAGCCCUGGGUCGAUCAAGCACAGAGGAAUUGACGAUUGUCAGUCGGAAGUCACCAUCUGGGUUAGCUACCUGACAAAACAAAGAGGGCAGACAGGAUGGAGAGGGAUCUAAGUUCCUUACAGAGCCCACAAAACCAAAGCCCUUCACGGGCCCUGCCUACGGCACACUCUCCACACCUGCCCUCUACUCCCGGGUCUCAUUCUAGAACCACUGGGGAGCCCGCCUUGAUUCCCAGUCAGAAGGUGUUCAUCAUGUCCCUGGCUGAGAUAAUUCCCACAUGGGCUGAAGUAGAAGCUAGAGCUGUGUGCUCCCUGACGCCAACCCCGGAGCACGACAACUUGUACCAAGGAAACUGUUGUGGUCUCUCGGAGUCACUCUUCAGUGCUUGCACACAACCCACACACCGCUUCCUGCCUGUUUUAAGCCAUCCCUAGACCACCUGUACCUCCCACGACAGUGCUGGUGCUAAGUAAUAGGUCAGUUGUUUGGGAAUGGAACGACAGGAAAGGAUGCCUGCACACUC